rnacentral:rRNA from 1 species
AAUUGACCUCGGAUCAGGUAGGGAUACCCGCUGAACUUAAGCAUAUCAAUAAGCGGAGGAAAAGAAACCAACAGGGAUUGCCUCAGUAACGGCGAGUGAAGCGGCAACAGCUCAAAUUUGAAAUCUGGCCCCGUCGGGGUCCGAGUUGUAAUUUGUAGAGAGUGUUUCGGGUGAGACCACGGUCUAAGUUCAUUGGAACAUGGCGUCAUAGAGGGUGAGAAUCCCGUAUGUGACUGUGGCUCGAGCCCAUGUGAAGCCUCUUCGACGAGUCGAGUUGUUUGGGAAUGCAGCUCAAAAUGGGUGGUAAAUUUCAUCUAAAGCUAAAUACUGGCUGGAGACCGAUAGCGCACAAGUAGAGUGAUCGAAAGAUGAAAAGCACUUUGGAAAGAGAGUCAAACAGUACGUGAAAUUGUUGAAAGGGAAGCGCUUGCAACCAGACCUGUCCGUAGGUGAUCAGCCGCUGUUCUCAGCGGUGCACUCGCUCUGCGAUCAGGCCAGCAUCGGUUUCGGCGGUUGGAUAAAGGCCUUGGGAAUGUAGCUCCCUUCGGGGAGUCUUAUAGCCCUCGGUGCAAUGCGGCCAGCCGGGACCGAGGACCGCGCUUCGGCUAGGAUGCUGGCGUAAUGGUUGUAAGCGACCCGUCUUGAAACACGGACCAAGGAGUCUAACAUCUAUGCGAGUGUUUGGGUGUUAAACCCAUGCGCGGAAUGAAAGUGAACGGAGGUGAGAACCCUUUAGGGCGCAUCAUCGACCGAUCCAGAUGUCUUCGGAUGGAUUUGAGUAUGAGCAUAGCUGUUGGGACCCGAAAGAUGGUGAACUAUGCCUGAAUAGGGUGAAGCCAGAGGAAACUCUGGUGGAGGCUCGCAGCGGUUCUGACGUGCAAAUCGAUCGUCAAAUUUGGGUAUAGGGGCGAAAGACUAAUCGAACCAUCUAGUAGCUGGUUCCUGCCGAAGUUUCCCUCAGGA